rnacentral:rRNA from 1 species
GACGAACGCUGGCGGCGUGCUUAACACAUGCAAGUCGUACGGUAAGGCCCUUUCGGGGGUACACGAGUGGCGAACGGGUGCGUAACACGUGAGUAACCUGCCCACAACUUUGGGAUAACGCUAGGAAACUGGUGCUAAUACUGGAUAUGUGCUCCUGCUUCAUGGUGGGGGUUGGAAAGCUCCGGCGGUUGUGGAUGGACUCGCGGCCUAUCAGCUUGUUGGUGGGGUAGUGGCCUACCAAGGCGGCGACGGGUAGCCGGCCUGAGUGGGUGACCGGCCACAUUGGGACUGAGAUACGGCCCAGACUCCUACGGGAGGCAGCAGUGGGGAAUAUUGCACAAUGGGCGCAAGCCUGAUGCAGCAACGCCGCGUGCGGGAUGACGGCCUUCGGGUUGGAAACCGCUUUCAGCAGGGACGAAGCUUUUUGUGACGGUACCUGCAGAAGAAGCACCGGCUAACUACGUG